UCCUGUUUAAGCAUCGAGUUUUUCAAAGAGAAAAACUGGCUGCCACUCUUGUCUCUUUCUUGAGUGGCUGAGUUUUCUAGGUUAUUUAGUAGAUGAAAUCAAAAGAAACGUGGAAACACUGUGUGGUUGGAAGCCACGUGGCGCAUAUGCUCCUGCUUGUUAACAGUGAGUGGUGUUGAUGCGUGGGCAUUCAGGUUUCUUCUGCGUUGGCAAUGCUGAUGUGUAAUCAGUCGUCUCAGCACAAUUGGGGGUUUUAGGAAACUCAGAGAUCAGCCUUAGUUCUCAGAGUUUUUGAAAUCAAUAUCCUAGCCUUAUGAAUUGUUCCUUGUGUUUCCUUGGCAACAAACAGUAUUUUCAGCCCAAACCCACCCACGGUUUACAUUCACCCCUUUCUCCUGCAUCUCACAGCACAGCCAUACAAGCAUCACCCAACAGAAAGCACAUUCAGGCACCAUCUGACAACGGGAAGCAGGACUCAGGCAUUCCACUCCCCAUUUGUUCCUGGUGUCCCCUCCCCAGCUCUGCCUUGCUUGCUUACCUUCUUUGUGCCAGCACUUUUCUUUGAGGUUGGGUUGCAAAGGACCUUGCCUAAAGAUGAACAAAGUAUUUCAUUCUUGCACUUUGAAUCUCUCCAGUGCCUAGGACUAAUGAGGAGAAUGCUUGUUAGCUCAUUUUGUGGGCCAGUGCUGGGUUCUCCUUAGUUCAUCCUUAUGGCAGCAUGAGGUGGAGCGGGCACGAUCUCAUUUGCAUUUGAGGAAACCAAGACUCAGGCCAGGAACUUGUCUUCGUAUGGUAUGACACUUGGUGGUGGAUGUGAAGUUCAAAUUUGGAGUUGGGUUUAAGUCGCUUGAAAGUUGGUGCUCAUUUUUCUGUGCCACAGUGCAUCUCAGAAAGACACUUCUUAGGGAAUGUGUGUGUGACUGACGACAGCUGGGUUCUUACUGUUUUAGCAGCAGUGUGAACAGAUGAAGCAGACAGGAAGGGGGAAAUGGCAAUGUAUACUGUGUGACAGGCACUAUGCUAAGCAUCUCAUCUUUACCGAAAGCAUUUAUGAAGGUUUUCUCUUUUAAAAAUGAGCCACCUGGGCCAUGAAGAAGUUAAGUGACUUGACCACAGUCACAACCUAACCCAUGUGGUAGCAUCAGGAUUUCAGUCCAGAUCUGACUCAGAACUCAUGCUCUUAACCACCAUGUGAUUUUAAGCUGGAUAACAUGGAAAUACGUUUAAAUAUAUAAGGAAUAUAUGUAAAGGUAAUAUACAUUACUUUUAAAUAAGACAUCAGGUCAGUGCUAACUCCUACAGUAUAGAUGUCCCAGGUUGAAUAAAAUAGUUUCCUAAAAUCUCUACAUUUAUAACAAUGACAUAGGACAGACAGGUGGCUGCAAGAUGUAUGGUGAAGCUUAUGUAUACCUUAGCUAUUAGGGCAAGAAGUAUACAUUUUAGUACUUGUACUAAAACUAACAUAUAAAUUAAUCUUGAUGUGGAAAAUAAAAGCAUUAUUGGUGAUUUGGGUGUUACAAACAUUUGCUUUUCCUAGCAAAAUGCC
rnacentral:lncRNA from 1 species